UGUAAGCGUAUACUAAUGUUGUUGCAGUUAAAAAGCUCGUAGUUGAACUUCUGGUAGGAGUGUCCCGGCCUUUUUGUUUUUACAAAUUGUAUGCUGUGUGACAUCUCUGGCCAUCCUUCCUCUUUGUUUAAAGAAGAUCUUUCACUGUAAAAAAAUUAGGGUGUUCAAAGCAAAAGUUUCUUUGGAAUAUAUUAGUAUGGGAUGAUAAGAUAGGCUCUAGAUGCUAUUUUGUUGGUUUGCACAUUUAGAGAAUGAUUAACAGGGACAGUUGGGGGUAUUCGUAUUUACAUGUCAGAGGUGAAAUUCUUGGAUUUUGGAAAGACGAACUACUGCGAAAGCAUUUACCAAGGAUGUUUUCAUUAA
rnacentral:rRNA from 1 species